AAAAAAAAGAUACAUGUAUUAGCAAUAAAGUUCACAAAAAAAAUGGUGGUAGAAUUGACUAGGUUGGGCUCAUUAAUACUCGAGUAAUUAAGUCUGAGGGGACUUUGUGCCUAGUAACCUAAAGCCUUUCAUGGUUUGGGAUUGCUGACCCAACACUCGCUAAAUGGGUAUUAGUGCAUAAAUCUUUUGGGAUCUCAACCAUUGCACGGUCAAAUAAGCCAUCGAAAGCAUGUGUGAACAAUUUGGUUGGUGAAGUCUUAUGGUGGUCGUAACUCACUUACCCUGAGAAGCGUCCCGACCUUAGACCGAGCAUGUACACACCAAAUAAUAGAUAUUGAAAAAAAGAAGAAAAAAAAGAGCAUAUAUAAGAGAGGCAUGGAAGUUCCUUGGUGACCAUAAGCUGUAGUUGACUCUAAUGUAACGAAGUGUUUAAGCAUUAUUCUUAUUAACGACUCAUGGCUAAGAUUCUGUUGAAGUUUGUUGGUCUUUAUGUUGUUUCAUUAGAGAGCAUGUUGAGCACACACGAUGCACUCCGUACUUGAAGUGAAAGAGUUGCAUGACUAAUAUGUGAGAUAGAUGAAAUCCUUGAUUGUUGCAUAUUCUGAGGAUUAUAUGUUGACAAGGUUGAUAAUUUCAUGAUUGGGAUCUAUGCAUAUUCAUUUAGUUUGCAUUC
rnacentral:lncRNA from 1 species